CUUGAUUGGGAAGGUGCUCUCUGGGGGCCAGAAGCGGAUGCAAGUGCAGCGAGGUGCACAUGGAGGCCUGACCAGCCAACUUCUGGCUGGCGCCCAGCCCGAAUCGCGGGAGAGGACUCACGCGAAGGGAAGCGCCGGCUCCAGCGGUGGCUCUCCGCGCGGCCAGGUGAGGCGGGGCUGCGGAGGUACAGGCCCAGGACCUCGCCCAGUCGGAGGAUGCCCUUCGGGAGGUCGGCCCUGAGGAUGGCAGCUCCUGCAGGGGUGCCGCCCCCAUGACACGUCCGGACCUCCAUCCCCAGGCCCAGCUGAGCAGCUGCCCCAGGAGAACAGCAGGAAAUGCCAGUAUUUGCACCACCGGCAGAGCCUCCGUGCCCCCGAAGCCAGGCAGUCUCCACAGCCCCGGACCCUGGGGUCGGGCCUGCAGCGUGCUCCUGCGGGCUGCGCACACAGGAAUGGGACCUGCCCUGCUGCCUUGCCCAUUCCCAGUCAACUCCACGGCUGCUGCGACUAUGGCCUUCCUGGCUCUCAGUCCCUUACUGCCACCUGUGAGUGAGCUCACCGGGGUCCUGCAACCUGUGACUAAGCUCUAAAGCAAUGAAGUGACUGUGUGAACCUUUUCUUUCCAUUGUUAACCUGUGCAUUUCUAACUAAUGUGGCUAUCUGCUCACGGCCCACACUGUGCUGGAAGCAUCAACUAGGAAGUGAGGGUAGAUUGCACAAGAGGAACCUCUUAAAAAGAAACAACAAAUGCCUAGCAAAUGUAAGAACCCUGCAAUCACGGGCCUCUGCGGACAUUUACACACAGGACAAACAGCCCUCCGUGCUUCACUACCUCCUGAGCAUACCCCUUUAUCACUCAGCGCAGCACGGUAAUCAUUGCCUAUUUUGGACAUCAUAAAGAAAACUUUAAAUUAUGCUCUGCAUCCUGUAUUUUAGAGAAAAAAAGCACACACUAUAUUUCAGGAAAGUUUUUAUGCAGAUGUUUGCAAUAAAACAAUAUAAAUUUCAGGAA